rnacentral:rRNA from 1 species
GACGAACGCUGGCGGCGUGCCUAAUACAUGCAAGUCGAACGCUUCUUUCCUCCCGAGUGCUUGCACUCCAUUGGAAAGAGGAGUGGCGGACGGGUGAGUAACACGUGGGUAACCUACCCAUCAGAGGGGGAUAACACUUGGAAACAGGUGCUAAUACCGCAUAACAGUUUAUGCCGCAUGGCAUAAGAGUGAAAGGCGCUUUCGGGUGUCGCUGAUGGAUGGACCCGCGGUGCAUUAGCUAGUUGGUGAGGUAACGGCUCACCAAGGCCACGAUGCAUAGCCGACCUGAGAGGGUGAUCGGCCACACGGGGACUGAGACACGGCCCAGACUCCUACGGGAGGCAGCAGUAGGGAAUCUUCGGCAAUGGACGAAAGUCUGACCGAGCAACGCCGCGUGAGUGAAGAAGGUUUUCGGAUCGUAAAACUCUGUUGUUAGAGAAGAACAAGGACGUUAGUAACUGAACGUCCCCUGACGGUAUCUAACCAGAAAGCCACGGCUAACUACGUG